UCUCGACAGGCAAGGCUCUCAAGGGUAAGGGGAUCAACUUGAUUAUGCCAGAGUUUACAAGACCAAUCAAGGAAAUUACCACUUAAAUUACGAGCUAUAACAGCAGUAGCUCCAACCCUCCUAUGUAUGUCAAUGGCAGCAUCAAAGUUUAAUUUAAAAAAUAUAGGAGGAGGAGGUUGCCAAGAAGGUGAAUUUGAGAUAACCGGUGCUUGUUGAUGCAGGGGGAUCUUGAGCUAUCAGAAAUUCUUCAAGGUGAGAUUGAGCAAAAAGUAGUGCUUGCUGGUAACUUAGGAAAUGGUGUUGAAAAAUGGCUUUGCAUCUACUUUUCCACAGAUGCCAAAGUGUAAAUGCAGCGGUUUGAAUGAGUUCCAUACCAUUCUCAUAAUGAAUUAGAGGGUCACAAAUCCCCAACCAGCAAUCAAUCAUGGAACUAUGGGUAAGUAAGGCAGAUCUAAUUCUCAAGGGAGAAUGUAACCAAACAGCGGCAGAGUGAGGGCAGCAGUAAAAGAGAUGCUCCAAUGUUUCUCUAUUGCCACAAAAGAUGCAAUCUGAAGCAAGAUUUGGAAAACGUCUAUUUAUUAAUGUAUUGACUGGAAUUCUUUCUUUAAGUAAACCCCAAAGAAAUAACAGAAUAUUUUUCGGGAGAUUAAGAUUUCAAAAACUUUUCCAGAAGGCAACAUUAUUUCUUUUGACAAUUCGGCCCUGGACCAGCAGCUAAGGAAUGAGAAUUUGCAUUAUUGAGCUGGUAUGCAAUUCGAUAGCCAGAUUUAACUGUGAAAAUUCAUCUCCUGUCAAAAUGCCACACCAGCUUAUCCUCACAUCGAAGAAAUCCCACUGGAAUGGCCAUAAUGUGUGCAAAAUCCUCCUCAUAAAAAUUUUCCUUAAGCCUCCUAAUAUUCCAAGAGUUGGAAACUUCAUCUAUGAGUUGUGAUACCCAAACAAUGGAGGCAUUAUGGUUGUUAAUAACACGGGCUGGAUGAGGAAAAAUAUUAGGAAUCCAUUUGUCUUCCUUACACAUGAUCGAUAAACCAUUCCCAAGAUGCCAUCUGAGACCUUGUUGGAGGACCUUUCGACCCCAAAGGAUACUUUGCCAUCCCCAUGAUGGUCUGCUACCCAGGCGAGCUUGCAUAAAGGAGGUUGAAGGAAAGUAUUUCCCUUUCAAUAACUGAGAUAGAAGCGAUGUAGGAUUAGAAAGAAUUCUCCAGCCUUGCUUUGCUAGGAGAGCCAUAUUGAAGCUCUCCAGCUCUCGAAUGCCCAACCCACCAUUCUCUUUGGAAGAGCAAAGUUCAUUCCAUGAAACCCAAUGCAUUUUUCUUCCCUCCUAUUGCUGGCCCCACCAAAAAUUAGCCACAAUUCGAUUAAUUUGUUUGCAAAGCCCUAAAGAAAGUUUUAAACAGCACAUAACAUAUACUGGAACUGCGGAUGUAACUGCUUUGAUGAGCACCUCCCUACCACCCUUAGAUAGAAGCUUUUCUUUCCAGCCAGCUGCUUUCUGGGAAAUGCGAUCCCGAAUUGCCAUAAAAGCUUGAGAUUUGGACCUAGGAAUUUCCGCCGGAAGACCAAGGAAUUUGUCUUGACCAUCAAUAUUGGUAAUGUUAAGAAGGGAAGCAAUGCGAUGUCUAAUACUAGCUGGAGUGUUGGAGCUGAAGACUAUAGCAGAUUUGUUCAAAUUGAUGGUCUGUCCACUGGCCACCGAAAAAUCUUGAAGAACUUGCUUAAUGACUUGUGCAUUUUCCGGUGAAGCUUUAGGAAAAAGAAUUGAAUCAUCAGCAAAAAGGAGGUGUGUGAUAGAAGGUCCAUAUCUAGAGAUAGAUAAGCCCUGCAAGGGAAAAGUUUUGAUAGCAUGGGAAAGACCUUUCAUGCAAAAUAAGAAUAAACAUGGAGAUAAAGGAUCUCCCUGUCUAAGGCCUCUUGAAGGGUUAAAAUGACCAUGACGAUGACCAUUAAUCUGGAGAGAAAAGGAGAUAGUAGUGACACACUGUAGGAUCCACCCAAUCCAUUUCUCAUGAAACCCAAAGCAUUGUAGCAUGUGUUGGAGGAAAGGUCAUUCAAUGCACUCAUAGGCUUUACUGAUGUCCAACUUCACUGGCAUACCGUGAUUUUUCCCUUGCUUCCUUAGCUUGAGGCUAUGAAGGAGUUCAUGACUUAUGAUAAUCUUGUCCGAAAUCAGCCUCCCUUUAAUAAAAGCACUCUGCUCGACACCAAUGAAAGAAUCCAUGAAGGGUUGCAGACGGAUGGUUAGGAUCUUAGCUAUGAUUUUAUAGAAUACAUUACAAAGACCAAUUGGUCUUAAAUCUUUCAUGGACUGCACAUGUUUCACUUUUGGAAUCAGGGUGAUGAUAGUGUGGUUGAAGUUUCUCAGCAUUCUGCUACCAUGGAAGAAGCCCUGAAUAGCCCGACAGAUGUUUUCGCCUAUGAUAUGCCAAUACUUUUGAAAGAAGAGACCAGUUAAACCAUCCUCUCCUGGAGCUUUGGAAGGGUGAAUAGAGAAGGUAGCUGUCUUGAUUUCCUCUGAAGUUACAUCUUGAAUAAGAUGUAUAUUCACCUCAUCAGUAACUCGUUUACGGAACCCUUCUGUGAUAACAUGAAGAUUUGAAGGACCUUUAGUUUCAUAAAUAGAUUGGAAAUAGUCAAGAGCAAUACCUUGAAUGUCUUCUAAGGACGGUUUCCAAGAACCACGAUUGUCCAGUAAUCCUGUAAUAAGAUUACUGCGACGUCUUUGGAUUACCUUAGCAUGGAAAAAAUCUGUGUUCUGAUCACCAGCUUUUAACCAUUGUUGCCUAGCCUUCUGGGCCCAGAAUUGUUCUUCUUUCACAAUUUCCAUCAACCGUUGGAUCAAACUGAAAAUGACAAUCCAAUCCCAAGCCCCCGGCUUCAUGAACCAGAACUCUCGAUUCCGACUCAGAACCAAACCUUUGCCAGGACUACUUGCCUAGGUAAAUGAAGGUGUCAUUGUAGCCAAAAGAAAAUACAAAACAUCCCAUGUCUCAAGAAAGAUCGAGAUAUUGGAUAGAAAGAAGC
rnacentral:misc_RNA from 1 species